rnacentral:rRNA from 1 species
AGAGUUUGAUCCUGGCUCAGGACAAACGCUGGCGGCGUGCGUAACACAUGCAAGUCGAGCGGGCUGACUUCGGUCAGUCAGCGGCGGACGGGUGAGUAACACGUGAGUCACCAACCCUCGAGUGGGGGAUACCCAGCGGAAACGUUGGUUAAUCCCGCAUACGCUUCUUCGGAAGGAAAGCGGCAACGCGCUCGUGGACG